GAUGAACGCUGGCGGCGUGCCUAAUACAUGCAAGUCGAGCGAACAGACGAGGAGCUUGCUCCUCUGACGUUAGCGGCGGACGGGUGAGUUACACGUGGAUAACCUACCUAUAAGACUGGGAUAACUUCGGGAAACCGGAGCUAAUACCGGAUAACAUGUUGAACCGCAUGGUUCAACAGUGAAAGACGGUCUUGCUGUCACUUAUAGAUGGAUCCGCGCCGCAUUAGCUAGUUGGUAAGGUAACGGCUUACCAAGGCAACGAUGCGUAGCCGACCUGAGAGGGUGAUCGGCCACACUGGAACUGAGACACGGUCCAGACUCCUACGGGAGGCAGCAGUAGGGAAUCUUCCGCAAUGGGCGAAAGCCUGACGGAGCAACGCCGCGUGAGUGAAGAAGGUCUUCGGAUCGUAAAACUCUGUUAUUAGGGAAGAACAAAUGUGUAAGUAACUAUGCACGUCUUGACGGUACCUAAUCAGAAAGCCACGGCUAACUACGUG
rnacentral:rRNA from 1 species